GACGAACGCUGGCGGCGUGCUUAACACAUGCAAGUCGAACGGAAAGGUCCGGCUUUUGCGGGGUGCACGUGUGGGGAAGGGGUGAGUAACACGUGAGUAACCUCCCCCUGUCUUAGGGAUAUCAUCAGGAAACUGGGGCUAAUACAGGAUAGGAGCUCCUGCUGCACGGGGGGGGUUGGAAAGAUUCGGCGGUUGGGGCUGGACUAGCGGCUUAUCAGCUUGUUGGUGAGGUAGGGGCUGACCACGGCUAUGACGGGUAGCCCACAUGAGAGGGGAACCAGGGACAAUAGUACUGAGGUACGGAGCAGAAUCCAACGGGAGGCAGCGGUGGAAAGUAUUGCACAAUGGGCGGACGCCAGAUGCAGCAACCCCGCGUGCGGGAUGACGGGCUUCGGGUGGUAAACCGCUUUCGCCUGUGACGAGGCGUGAGUGACGGUAAUUAGUAAAGAAGCACCGGCUAACUACGUG
rnacentral:rRNA from 1 species